UACAGCCACAUCAUGUUGCAACCGCGGUUCUCGUACGAUCAGCGAAGUUAAGCAACGUCGACCUUGACCAUUACCUAGAUGGGUGACCCCUUGGAAAUACCAGGUACUGUAAG